GGCCAAGCGAGUGUGGCACACGGUGGAUGCCUUGGCACCAGGCGCCGAUGAAGGACGUGGGAGGCCGCGAUAGGCCACGGGGAGCUGCCAACCGAGCGUUGAUCCGUGGGUGUCCGAAUGGGGGAACCUGGCGUGCGUGAUGGCACGUCGCCGCUGCCUGAAUGUAUAGGGCAGUUGGUGGGAACGCGGGGAAGUGAAACAUCUCAGUACCCGCAGGAGGAGAAAACAAGAGUGAUUCCCUGAGUAGUGGUGAGCGAAAGGGGAUGAGGCUAAACCAUGCGCGUGUGAUACUCGGCAGGGGUUGCGCGUGUGGGGUUGUGGGGCGUGCCUGUCUGGGUCUGCCGGCCUGGAGCACUGCCGUUGCGGAUAGCCGAAGCCGGUGGGAAACGGCACCGUAGAAGGUGAGAGUCCUGUAGGUGAAAUCCGUGGGCGGGGUGUUGGGUGCGUUCCCGAGUAGCACGGGGCUCGGGGAAUCCCGUGUGAAUCUGGCAGGACCACCUGCUAAGCCUAAAUACGUCCUGGUGACCGAUAGUGGACGAGUACCGUGAGGGAAAGGUGAAAAGUGCCCCGGUGAGGGGUUGUGAAAGAGUGCCUGAAACCGUGUGCUGUCAAGCCGUCAGAGCCUUGCUUGUGGUGGGGUGAUGGCGUGCCUUUUGCAGAAUGAGCCUGCGAGUCAUGGUGUGUGGCGAGGUUAACCCGUUGUGGGGGAGCCGUAGCGAAAGCGAGUCUGAAGAGGGCGUUUGAGUCGCAUGCUGUGGACCCGAAGCGGGGUGAUCUACCCAUGUCCAGGGUGAAGCGGGGGUAAGACUCCGUGGAGGCCCGAACCCACCAGGGUUGAAAACCUGGGGGAUGAGGUGUGGGUAGGGGUGAAAGGCCAAUCAAACUCCGUGAUAGCUGGUUCUCCCCGAAAUGCAUUUAGGUGCAGCGUCGCGUGGUGCUUGCCGGAGGUAGAGCGACUGGUUGGCUGAUGGGCCCGACAAGGUUACUGAGGUCAGCUAAACUCCGAAUGCCGGUGAAGUUAGCGCGGCAGUGAGACUGCGGGGGAUAAGCUUCGUGGUCGAGAGGGAAACAGCCCAGACCAUCGGUUAAGGCCCCUAAGUGUGUGCUUAGUGGGAAAGGUUGUGCAGUUGCUGUGACAGCCAGGAGGUUGGCUUAGAAGCAGCCAUCCUUGAAAGAGUGCGUAAUAGCUCACUGGUCGAGUGAUUGUGCGCCGACAAUGUAGCGGGGCUGAAGCACACCGCCGAAACCGUGGAUGCUGAUCACGCCUUUUUUGGGUGUGGUUGGUGUGGUAGGGGAGCGUCCUGCGUGGGGUGAAGCCGCCGAGUGAUCGUGUGGUGGACUGCGUGGGAGUGAGAAUGCAGGCAUGAGUAGCGUGACACACGUGAGAAACGUGUGCGCCGAUUGACUAAGGGUUCCUGGGGCAGGUUAAUCCGCCCAGGGUGAGUCGGGACCUAAGGCGAGGCCGUGAGGCGUAGUCGAUGGAUAACGGGUUGAUAUUCCCGUACCCGUCCGCACGCGCCCAAUACCGAGGCUUCUGAUGCUAACCAGACUGGCGCUGCUCCUGUCCUUUGUGGGUGGGGGUGGUGUUGGUGUGGGGUCCAAGGGAGUAGUAGGUAAGUGAUGGGGUGACGCAGGGGGGUAGCUCUACCGGGCGAUGGUUGUCCCGGGUCAAGCGUGUAGCCUGGAGCAUAGGCAAAUCCGUGCUCUGUUGUGGGUGAGGCGUGAUGUCGAGGCGUUGAGCCGAAGUGAGUGAUCCCGUACUGCCGAGAAAAGCCUCUAGCGAGUGUGUGGACGGCCCGUACCCUAAACCGACGCAGGUGGUCAGGUAGAGAAUACCGAGGCGUUCGGGUGAACCGUGGUUAAGGAACUCGGCAAAUUGUCCCCGUAACUUUGGGAGAAGGGGAGCCCUGUGCGGUGAAGGACCGUGCGUCUGGAGCUGUGUGGGGUCGCAGAGGCCAGGGGGAAGCGACUGUUUACUAAAAACACAGGUCCGUGCGAAGUCGUAAGACG
rnacentral:rRNA from 1 species